AUUGAACGCUGGCGGCAUGCCUUACACAUGCAAGUCGAACGGCAGCACGGGGCAACCUGGUGGCGAGUGGCGAACGGGUGAGUAAUGCAUCGGAACGUACCUUUCAGUGGGGGAUAACGUAGCGAAAGUUACGCUAAUACCGCAUAUUCUGUGAGCAGGAAAGCAGGGGAUCGCAAGACCUUGCGCUGAUUGAGCGGCCGAUGUCAGAUUAGCUAGUUGGUGAGGUAAAGGCUCACCAAGGCGACGAUCUGUAGCGGGUCUGAGAGGAUGAUCCGCCACACUGGAACUGGGACACGGUCAAGACUCCUACGGGAGGCAGCAGUGGGGAAUUUUGGACGAUGGGGGCAACCCUGAUCCAGCCAUGCCGCGUGAGUGAAGAAGGCCUUCGGGUUGUAAAGCUCUUUCGGCCGGGAAGAAAUCGCACGGGCUAAUACCCUGUGUGGAUGACGGUACCGGAAUAAGAAGCACCGGCUAACUACGUGCCAGCAGCCGCAGUAA
rnacentral:rRNA from 1 species